CAUAAUUCCAAAUGUAGAAGGAUAAAAGUGGUAUUCCCUCAUAAAAAUAACUCCUCAAUCCUAACAACCAUUCCUAAACCCACAAACGCCGUGAACGGCUGAGAGCUAGUUGAAGACCACCGCAACUUGCUCAUCGGCAACGACGGAGAGAUGUCGCUUGUAGAUUAUGCUUCCUCUUCAGACGACGACGUUGCGGAACCCACUGAACAACAACGCAAAGAGGAGGAACCCCAACGCAAUUCAGCACCACCACUACCAUUUCCUCAUCCUCGGAAUCAGACUAAAUCUGAAUCUUCCAUGGACCAGCAUCCAGGGAAAAAACCACAUUCACCUCUACCUUCAGCGGAGAAACUUCCCGAUGCUUCACUUCUUUUGAAUUCGCCUGCAUUCUCAUCUAAUCUGAUGAAUGUGAGUGAUCACUCCUCUCGCGUUGCUGCGGCUGUAGCAGAAAAUGCUUUACGUAAGAGAGACUCUACUGGAAUGGCUUCUUCAUCUGUUCGUAGUAAAGUUCCUAGAGGAAACCGCCCUCAUUCAAAGAAUGUUCCAGACACUUCUGGUGGGAUGCUAGUUCCACCUCAGAUUAGUGGAAGGUUAGUAGUCACAUAUUGACAGAUUGCUUUCUGCUUUUAUCUAUUUUUGCAUUUGUCAGUGAAUGUUGGAUGGUAAAAUUCUAAGAAGAGAAUAAACUCAAUGUAGUAGAUAUGCGAAUGUUGCAUUGGUUAAGUGGACACAUUGCACAAGAUAAGAUUGGGCAUGAAUGCAUUAGGGAGAGAGUUCGGGUACUCCUAUUGUAGAAAAGACGACAAGAUAAGAUUGGGCAUGAAUGCAUUAGGGAGAGAGUUCGGGUACUCCUAUUGUAGAAAAGAUGAUAGAAUCAUGUCUUAGGUAGUUUGGGCAUAUGUGGUGUUAGAAGCCCCAAUAAGAAGAGUAGAUCAAUUGGAGGUUAGUCUAAUUUAUAAGGCAGAUGGAGGCCAAGAAAAUCCAUAGGUGGAAUGAGUAGGAAAGACUUAGAAAUCGAUAUUUUGUCAAUGGAGAUGAUUUAUGAUAAAAUAUUAACAUGUCGUUCGACCUAUGUAGCCGAUUCUAUCUAGUGGGACUAAGGGUUGGUUGAAGUUGUUUUUUGUAAAUCUUAUCUUAGUGAUUAAAAGAUAUGAAUUGAUGAAGGAGUCAUGAAAUAUUUAGACAUAUAUUAUGAACUUCAAUUGGAGUUGAAAUGAGCUAUGCCCUGCUGAAGCACAGACAACUUCAUUUGAGGUCAAGAACUAAAAAAGGACAACUGGUAAGACAAAGUUCUCUUCUCUCUUAAGAAAUUCUUCUUCUCUAAAAAUAAGAGUAAAUUAUACUAAUAUCCCUUGAGUUUUAGUGAAAUUACACAAAAAACAGUGAUAAGUGUAAUUAUGUAUAUACAUUACAUUGACUACCCCUGUAAGAGAGAUAAGUGUAGUUUUUUAAACAAAAAACAGUGAUAAGUGUAAUUAAGUCAACCAAAAUAUGGUAUAUUGUGAAGAUAAGUCCAAAUAGUUUAAGAGUCAAUGUUUAAUCAUCUAAAAUUUAGCUCAAUCCAACAGUAAACGAAUGAGGUUUUGCAAUUUUACUUGAACUACUCAUGGCUGAAUCCUUGCUUUUGUCCAUAACUUAUCUUUUUACCAUAAUUCCUCCUGAUUUGCCACUGAAUUAUAUGGGAGCUAAUUAUAGUUGGGCUAUCUUCAUAUAUUGGGUUCAAUGUUAAUUCCAUAAGCUGUGCAACUUGAUCCUUAGUAUUUUUACCUGCCUUGUUAUUCUGGACUUGGUUUAAAUACUUGUUGGGUUACUCCUCUCAAAGCCAAAUAAUUUUGAAAUAGAGCCUUAACAGUUUUCCAAAUACCUCCUCCCUAAGACUAGUUAAAGUUGUAGAGGAAGAGUGAGUUAAUUAUGAAA
rnacentral:lncRNA from 1 species